AGAGUUUGAUCCUGGCUCAGGAUGAUUUCUAGCGGCAGGCUUAACACAUGCAAGUCGAGGGGCAGCGGGGAGGAAGCUUGCUUUCUCCGCCGGCGACCGGCGCACGGGUGAGUAACACGUAUGCAACCUGCCCCUGUCAGGGGGACAACCCGCCGAAAGGCGGGCUAAACCCGCGUACAUGCCACCGGGGCAUCCCGGAGGCAGGAAAGGCUUCGGCCGGACAGGGAUGGGCAUGCGGCGCAUUAGGCAGUAGGCGGGGUAACGGCCCACCUAACCGACGAUGCGUAGGGGUUCUGAGAGGAAGGUCCCCCACACUGGUACUGAGACACGGACCAGACUCCUACGGGAGGCAGCAGUGAGGAAUAUUGGUCAAUGGUCGGGAGACUGAACCAGCCAAGCCGCGUGAGGGAGGAAGGUACAGAGUAUCGUAAACCUCUUUUGUCAGGGAACAAAGGCGGGGACGUGUCCCCGGAUGAGUGUACCUGAAGAAAAAGCAUCGGCUAACUCCGUGCCAGCAGCCGCGGUAAUACGGAGGAUGCGAGCGUUAUCCGGAUUUAUUGGGUUUAAAGGGUGCGCAGGCGGUCUGUUAAGUCAGCGGUCAAAGCCCGGGGCUCAACCCCGGCCCGCCGUUGAAACUGGCAGUCUCGAGUUGGAGAGAAGUAUGCGGAAUGCGCGGUGUAGCGGUGAAAUGCAUAGAUAUCGCGCAGAACUCCGAUUGCGAAGGCAGCAUGCCGGCUCCACACUGACGCUGAGGCACGAAAGCGUGGGUAUCGAACAGGAUUAGAUACCCUGGUAGUCCACGCAGUAAACGAUGAAUGCUGGCUGUCCGGGGGGAUUGACCCCUGGGUGGCGAAGCGAAAGCGAUAAGCAUUCCACCUGGGGAGUACGCCGGCAACGAUGAAACUCAAAGGAAUUGACGGGGGCCCGCACAAGCGGAGGAACAUGUGGUUUAAUUCGAUGAUACGCGAGGAACCUUACCCGGGCUCAAACGGGGAGUGACUCAGGCAGAGACGCCUGUUUCCCACGGGACACUCCCCGAGGUGCUGCAUGGUUGUCGUCAGCUCGUGCCGUGAGGUGUCGGCUUAAGUGCCAUAACGAGCGCAACCCCCGCGUGCAGUUGCUAACAGAUAACGCUGAGGACUCUGCACGGACUGCCGGCGCAAGCCGCGAGGAAGGCGGGGAUGACGUCAAAUCAGCACGGCCCUUACGUCCGGGGCGACACACGUGUUACAAUGGGUGGUACAGCGGGAAGCCAGGCGGCGACGCCGAGCGGAACCCGAAAUCCACUCUCAGUUCGGAUCGGAGUCUGCAACCCGACUCCGUGAAGCUGGAUUCGCUAGUAAUCGCGCAUCAGCCAUGGCGCGGUGAAUACGUUCCCGGGCCUUGCACACACCGCCCGUCA
rnacentral:rRNA from 1 species